AUUAAGUAAAGCAGACACAACUUCACACAAACACGAACACUUUCCCUCUUUGAUAAGCUUUAACACAAAAAAAUCUUCUUGUGUACAUCUCGCUGCAAACGGCCAGGCUUUCCAUCAUCGUCUCUGUCUCCAGUCACCAUCGUCGUCUCUAUCUCCAGAUAACAUUGUCGUCUCUGUCUUCGGUCACCAUAGAAGGGACCCCAAGCCCUAAAUGAUAACACACGGCUUAUAAACGAAACCCUAAAUCCAGAGACAAAAAUUCCUAUAAAGAAGCGAUCCUUUGUCUGAUCGAUUGAUUUGCUUGAGAAUCUGGCAAUUGAUGAUGUUGUUGUGUUAUCGAUUGUGCUGCAAGAGGUCAAGAACAAGAAUCUUUCAGUUUAUAACAGAGUUAAAGCCUUGUGCAGCAAUUCUAUGAGGAAGUUCUUUGUUUCCUCUAACGAACAUCACAGCAAUUCGAGUGACAACUCAGUGGUAUCGUAACCAUCUUGGUGGUGCAACAUGGGUCUUAUUAAUCACAAAUGACAGAGAAAAUAAGAGGAAAGCCACUGAAGAGGGAAUUUCUACAGAGACAGGUACCGGGAUCAAGAUUCGGGAUUCACAUCAUGCUUGAAUGAUUUGUAGACUUGAAGUUCUCAUUUCUUAUAAAUGUUGGCUUGAAAUGCCAUUUAUAGAUUUAUAUGUCAAAAUGUGUAAAUUUGAUUCUAUUUAUGUAAUGUGUACAUAAGUAUACUCUUUAGAAUGUAUUUGACAUGUAUGAGAUGAGGCCAUAGGCCAGUGACAUCUAAUUUGUAUCCUAUGUAACUUUUAACUUUAUGAAAUAUUAUGAAAAUAUUGAAAAG